rnacentral:rRNA from 1 species
UACGGAGGGGGCAAGCGUUAUUCGGAAUUAUUGGGCGUAAAGGGCGCGUAGGCGGCUAGAUGUGUCAAAGGUGAAAUCCCUCGGCUCAACUGAGGAACUGCCUUUGAAACUGUCUGGCUUGAGGCCGGGAGAGGGUAGCGGAAUUCCCAGUGUAGCGGUGAAAUGCGUAGAUAUUGGGAGGAACACCAGUGGCGAAGGCGGCUACCUGGACCGGAACUGACGCUGAGGCGCGAAAGCGUGGGUAGCAAACAGG